AUGGCCUGGACUCCUCUGCUCCUCGUGCUCCUCUCUCACUGCACAGGGUCCCUCUCCCAGCCUGUGCUGACUCAGCCGCCCUCCCUCUCUGCAUCUCCUGGAGCCACAGUCAGACUCACCUGCACCCUGAACAGUGGCUCCAAUGUUGGCAGCUACUACAUAUCCUGGUACCAGCAGAAGCCAGGGAGCCCUCCCCGGUACCUCCUUUACUACCACACAGACUCCAUUAAGGGCCAGGGCUCCGGGGUCCCCAGCCGCUUCUCUGGAUCCAAAGACGCCUCGGCCAAUGCAGGGCUCCUGACCAUCACGGGGCUGCAGCCUGAGGACGAGGCUGUCUAUUACUGCGCUACACCUCAUAGCAGUGCUCACAGUGUCUCAGACGAUGAGGAAGUGAGACCAAAACCCCUGGGGUCUGAGGUCUGA